rnacentral:rRNA from 1 species
UACGUAGGGUGCAAGCGUUGUCCGGAAUUAUUGGGCGUAAAGAGCUCGUAGGCGGUCUGUCGCGUCGGCUGUGAAAACCCGGGGCUCAACCCCGGGCCUGCAGUCGAUACGGGCAGACUAGAGUGCGGUAGGGGAGACUGGAAUUCCUGGUGUAGCGGUGAAAUGCGCAGAUAUCAGGAGGAACACCGGUGGCGAAGGCGGCUCACUGGCCCGGUACUGACGCUGAGGUGCGAAAGCGUGGGGAGCGAACAGG